GACGAACGCUGGCGGCGUGCUUAACACAUGCAAGUCGAACGGAAAGGCCCUGCUUUUGUGGGGUGCUCGAGUGGCGAACGGGUGAGUAACACGUGAGUAACCUGCCCUUGACUUUGGGAUAACUUCAGGAAACUGGGGCUAAUACCGGAUAGGAGCUCCUGCUGCAUGGUGUGGGUUGGAAAGUUUCGGCGGUUGGGGAUGGACUCGCGGCUUAUCAGCUUGUUGGUGGGAUAGUGGCUUACCAAGGCUUUGACGGGUAGCCGGCCUGAGAGGGUGACCGGCCACAUGGGGACUGAGAUACGGCCCAGACUCCUACGGGAGGAAGCAGUGGGGAAUAUUGAACAAUGGGCGGAAGCCUGAUGCAGCAACGCCGCGUGCGGGAUGACGGCCUUCGGGUUGUAAACCGCUUUCGCCUGUGACGAAGCGUGAGUGACGGUAAUGGGUAAAGAAGCACCGGCUAACUACGUG
rnacentral:rRNA from 1 species